CUUUGAUCGUGUACUUUGUGCAGAUAAUUUCUUCUCAUCUACUGACAUCUAGCAAGCAAAUGCCUGCAUAGAAAACAGCAAAGACCCCGCGUUUCAACAGCAAAAUGCUAUUACAUCUCCUAGGAUAACAUAGCUUCUAUCAUUGGCAUAUAAAAGGACAAGAAAUUGGGACAAGCUACAGGAAUCAUGCCUUCUUCCUAAGAGUCCAGGAAAAGAGUGGUCUGCACCUAACAGGAAACAUAAAACAAGGCCAGAGAGGUGACCUGUCCCAGAGUAUGGCAUAGACCCUUUGGCUGGAAAAUGAGUCCACAUAAUGAAGAGGCGGUAAAAACCAGAGACAUCUGCCAGACACCUGAAGAGUUUUCUAUUUGUUGGGUGAAGAAAUUCUUUCUAUAGCAUGCUAACGGCUUGGAUUUUGCCUGAGGUGCCACAUCUGUGCCAUUAUAUUUGGUUUUUAUUUCUGUGUUCUCUACAGAUUCAAACAGACUGAUUUUAUCUUCCUCCUUUGAAUGGUAGAGACUACAGUGCAUUCAAAUAACAUCUUUACCUACUAAAGUGUGUUCCUAAUGACAGAACAAAUUGCAAAGAAAAUUUUGGAUUAGUGUCUUGAAGAAGGGGGAUUUAUUUCACUGAAACUUUGCUUUGAUAUCUCUGGAAAAACUGAAAACUGUUGGAAAACCAGAGAGCAGACUAUCUUAAGCAGGAUCAUCUGCAUUGCUUCUAAGCCCUCCUACAAGCUUUUUUUUUUUUCUUUUUUUUUCCCCUCAUUACUGAUCAGGGCCAGGACUGCACCAGCCACGGCAGUCUAUAGUUAGGCUGCAUUUAAUGAUCUCCCUGGCUGUCAUCACAUUGAAGUAGAUUUUAAGAAUCAAAAUGUCACUCCCAAGACUAUGUCAUGCACAAAUCCACAGCAUGCCAACAGUGUUUUAAAUAAAACUGAAUACAAUGGGGCAUAAUCUGCCAUGGAAGCGCAUUAUAAAAAUCGAAGUGUAAUAUAAGUGUAACUCUUUAGAUUAUGACACUCUUAAAAGGAGAGGGUGGAAAAAUGAAAUGUUUGCACGAGAUGAAGUAUCCAAGUCCAGGCUCCCCACACAGAGCGCGGCAGGGGGGCAGGCACGGGGGUCUCCACUUUGCUCUCCCAGCAGCUGUAACACAGCCAGCUAUGCAGGUGCCUAAAGAACGGAAUUAGCUCCCAAAUGUGAACAAAACAUUGAGAAAUACAUGGAUUUUCAUUAAACUUCUAAUCACUGAUACACACAAAUCACUUACUGAGUGCAUAAUUAAAACCUUAAGUGUUUGCCAUAAAAAUUAUUUGUAAAUUAGGUGAAUUAAUUAUUCAGUGGUCAUUACUGAAAUUAAAUCUUCUCUGAGUAAAUUCCUUGCUACCUCAACAAGCAGAAUUCAGAGUAACAUGGCUAAGUUCUCUCAGAUGCAGCAGUACAAUAUCCUGGUGGUACUUCCACAUUGGUCACAGCGAAUGAACCUCACAAAUUCUGUACUACGUGUGAGCAAGGUACAUGUGUAUGUGUGGUACAUGCAGCUCCCGUAUUCACCUAAAUAUUACUCGUUCUACCAACACUGAAAGACACGAUACAACUGUUAAGUCCCUCGCAGGACCACCAGAUCUUAAAUUUCUUUUCCCAUUGUCCAAGACCAGCAUCUGAAGAAAAAGAUCAAGGCAGCUGCUGUGGCCAUAUCACCUCUCUUAAUGACCUCUAAAGGCUCAGAUCUUAUGCCUAAAGCGAUAGAAGUGAAAGACUUCAAAAACACGUUAAGAACUCAGAGGGGUGGGAGUGCUCUGCUCUACGUCACCAAAUCCAGCUCAGGGAGCGUGACCCACAGAGAUGUUUCCUGUACAGACACUGCAUCCAAGGAUAAUGAAUUCCCAUCCAUUUUUUAAGAAGGUUCACAUCCCUGGACACAGUUCAAUGUCAGACACUACGUGUUCAAAGGCAGUAAGGAUGAAUGGGGCAACUAUGGGGAUGACAUAACGGGACAACUAUUUCCUUGGUUCUGGCCAGAGGACAAAGAACUAACAAUGCUUUUAGCUGGGAUAAACACUAAGAAGUUUUUUCAUAUAGUUCACUUAUUUCCAAUUCUAAUUCUGGCUGGCACCUGGGGGAAUUAAAAAAAAAAACCCUCCCUCACAUUUAUUCAGUAUGAGAACCUUGCUUCAUGCAGCCACGGCACCGAGGGCAAAUACCCCAGGGAUGAAGUGAAGAGCAAGGAAGAGAAAGAGCUAAAGGACAGUAUAUUUUUUUCUGGAAUAGUUCAUUCAGUUCUAGUAACCAUGCCACUUUCUACGUUGGUUUAUAACUAUUUUUAGGUUAUGUAUAAAAUUCGGUUUACACAUCCAGAUGAACUAUGUUCUAUUGCAUAUAUUGCUCCUGCUUUGCUUUUCAAAAGUGACAAUAUGCCGAAGCUCAUAAACCACCAGAAAUACCAGCUCACCAGGGGAAAUACAUUCUCUGCUUUGCUUUUUCCUUCAUUUUAAAGAAAAUUAGUUAACCACGCAACAGCUUUUACAACCCAAAUACCUUCUCCACUUAAAAGGAAAAAUUCUGCCAGCAUUAUUUCCUUUAAGCAGUCAUUUCACCAUUGGACAUGUUAUGGAAGCAAUUUUUUUUGCCAUCAGUGAAAAAUUAUUUGUUUCUAAACACCAAUUCUUAGAAAAGAUGCUACGAAUGCCAUUUAGAAAAUGUUAGAAUUGGAUUGUUCGUUCAAAAUUUUCGACAACUGGGCACGAGGAACUUUCCUUUUUUAAUUUUGAUUUAUUAUUUCACUUGAAGCAAAAUCCUUGAUGCACUGUUUCAUUUUUCAGUACAAGAAGCACCGCUUAAGCACUCCACGUGGAACAGGAAACUUUUAAAAUAAUAAUUCAACUUUGAUUUUUGCCUCCCCAAAUCGUAGGCAUUUGUUCUCACCACUUCACAAACCUCUGUCAUUUGGCAACUGACCCUGAAUCACAGCAGAGGUGCAGGCAGGGAAGGGGCAGCCAGGGCUGCCAACUGCGGAGGCGAGAGGAGGACGGAUGGUCGGGAGGAGCAGGGUAUGCCGAGGAUGACAGCACCUGCAGGCUCCUGUUACAAAUUAUACCAUUUUCUUGCACCAUUUCCUCCUGCUUUCAGGAUGAUCCACCAAUAGCUAGAAAGGAGCCCAUAAAUCAGCUACAGUGAAUGGAGAGGUCCUCAAAACAGUAUUUUCUUUGUACUCUACACUAGCGGGAACCGACCAUUUGUUAUUUACAUC